UACGGGGGGGGCAAGCGUUGUUCGGAAUUACUGGGCGUAAAGGGCUCGUAGGCGGCCAACUAAGUCGGAUGUGAAAUCCCCAGGCUUAACCUGGGAAUUGCAUCCGAUACUGGAUGGCUUGAAUCCGGGAGAGGGAUGCGGAAUUCCAGGUGUAGCGGUGAAAUGCGUAGAUAUUCGCAAGAACACCAGUGGCGAAGGCGGCUCACUGGCCCGGUACUGACGCUGAGGUGCGAAAGCGUGGGGAGCAAACAGG
rnacentral:rRNA from 1 species